UUUCCGUAGGUGAACCUGCGGAAGGAUCAUUACUGGGUUAGCCAGGCCUCGUGCCUACCACCCGCCCUCUGUCAUGUGCAACGGUACCGCUUCGGCCGCUGGUUCCUCGAGGGGAGCCACGGUCGGUCUCUCAACCUGUGGAAUUGAAACUGUGUGUCUGAAGCGAAAAGAAAACAAACGAAAAGCAAAACUUUCAACAACGGAUCUCUUGGUUCUGGCAUCGAUGAAGAACGCAGC
rnacentral:misc_RNA from 1 species